GAAAUAUAGCAAAAUUUAGUGUGAUGUAGCAAUUAAGUGAGAAUGAGUUGAUAUAGGCUGUGUCCCAAUUCAAAGGCUGCGACCUUCUAAGGACCUAUUUUAAGACCGAUUGUGUCGCAGCAGUGCGACUUGAGGCUAGUAAGGCCGUCCCAAUUCAAAGGAUGCUUAGAAUGAAGCCUCUAAUUGCGUUCUCAUUUCUCCGCGCUGUUAAGGAUAGAACGAAUGGAUCCUUAACAGUCGAGGAUAUCCCAAGAGUCAUUGCGCUUCUGCAACGGCUGCAUAUAAUGGGUGGAUAUUCUAAAAUAAACAAGCAAAACCUUGAAAAUGUGUUUAUCAGAAAAAAAAUUGUGUCACUGUUUUAGUAAGUUAUGUUUUGUGUUAAUAUUAUUCUUUUUAUGUUGCGUAUAUUGUUGCGUAUAUUUCUAAGGUUGAUUAAUUUAAUAUACUGUUAAAUAGUUUAAUCUACAUCAACCUGUCAUAUUUUCUAAAAUAAAAUAAUAUUUUUAUGAUUUCAUAUUUAUUUUAAUAAGUUAGAAACAUCUCCGCUGUGUCCUGCUGACAGGCGCGGUGGGCACGUGCAGCAGAUGACGCCAAUUAUGGGUCCCUGAAGGUUAGACUGCUCAUUUGUUAUCUUUGCGAACUUCUGAGGCUUCCACCUUGAAAGACUGAGUGCUCAUCUUUUAAGGUUGCAUGUUCAUAAGGUUGCAGCCCUUGAAUUGGGAAACAGCUAUAGUGUCACUGUUGGGUAUAUAAUCUGUAAAUUGAUCCGAAGUUCAUGUUAUGCACAGGGAUAUUUUAAAAAGCUUAAAGGCGGAGUCCACGAUGUUUGAAAAACGGUUUGGAGAAGGAGACGGGCCGACUACCAAAACACACUUAUAGCAAAUCAAAUCAAAUCAAAUGCUGGGUUGCGUAUGUGUGGGGAGGGUCUAUCAACAGAAGGUCCAGAUUCUAUUGGGGUAGGGGCGUGUUUGUUUAGGUGAUUUCAAAUAUCAACAGUGGCUUUCAAACAUCAUAGGCUCCGCCUUUAAUGUACAAUAAUAAUUUUUAAAGUUGCUUUAAUAGAAGUACAUUGCAUUAUAAUUGUGUCUUAAGAUUUUUAUAUCUAAAAAUAUUGUGUGUAUUCAACUAUUUAUAUUUAGUUUACUCAGAUAUUGUUGUUUAUCGUAGUGACACCCUAAAAUGUUUGUUUGAGUUGUUGUAAUUAAAAACAACAUCUUGCACUGAUUAACAGAUCAAUACUUUUGUUUUUUCUGAAGAUUGUUUUUUUUUUUGUAACAUUGUGUUUUAACUUCUUAAUAUCUUAUUUAACUCCUUGAUAUUUAUAUUUGUUUUCUUUUUGUAUGUGUCAUUGGAAAUUAAUGGAAUGGUGCAACAUAAGCCAUAAACAGGAUAGACGACAGCACGGUGUGCCUUGGGCAUUUCAUUGUACUUUGACGGACUGAAAAGAUGCCACGUGGAAAAGGUUUUCGGCGGUCCCAGGCAGCCAAGAGGCGAAUGGCUAAGCCAUAUUCACUCAGUCCUGCAGAUCAACUUGCUGGCGAAAAUUCCAUGGUUUCCAAUGGUUCCAAUGACUUUCCAAAAAGUUCCAAUGACUUUCCAAAAAGUUCCAAUGACUUUCCAAAAAGUUCCAAUGACUUUCCAAUAAGUUCCAAUGACUCUCCAAAAAGUUCCAAUGACCUUCCAAAAUGUUCCAAAGACCUUCCAAAAUGUUCCAAAGACAAUUCUGUUCAUGUAACUAACUUUGCUAGUUUUUCAGAUCAAGUUCUAAAAGGCUCCUUUCAUCAAGGUGAUGAACGAUUUGGGUACAACAGGAACCGACAGUGUGGAGUCAACAGUCUGACAGCAGUGAUGAUGAGCAAACUGAAGAAUGUGCUGACAUGGACCACAGAUGACCUGAAUACUGUGUUGGUUAAAGGAGACGAGAUGUAUACAUGUAUGCGCUUACAGGGGAAAAUUAAUGAUUCAACAGGUAGUGGAUAUGUUUCCAUUGCAGAAUUGCCAAAAAUGCAUACACUGUAUAGUACAAAGUUCAAAAUAAACUACAAUGAGUCAUACAGUGGUCGUAUUGGUGUUUCUAUAUAUGAUGAGGAUGUUAAGAAUAUCUGCAUGCCGGUAGAUGAAGCCAUCCAGAGGGCGUUGCUAGACUGUGAUGCUUGUUUGUUAAACAUUAAAGAUAACAUAUGUUCUGUUAUAAAAGAGGGAACCAGGUUUGCAAUAUUUGAUCCCCAUGCCAGAAAUUGCAAAGGUAUGUGUGAAUAUGGUAUUGGUACAAGCAUAGUAGCAUAUUAUGAUGAUAUA